AAACGUGCAAGGAUAAAGUACAAGAUUAUGGAAAGACAAACUUUCUUGCUUCUUUCUGAUGACAAAAAGGUUAAAUCUGGAAAAUCUAAAAUCUUGGUGACAACGAAUGAAAUGAUAAGUGAAUUUAAAAAUACAUGCAGAAAGAUCAAGAGUUUAAAAAGAAAAUCAUUUUGGGCUGAGCACAUUGGCUUGGGUGUCUCUCCCUUCACCCCGGCACCCAGAGGAAAGGCACUGUCUGGUGGUGACAAGGAAGGAUCAGUUUCUCGGUGGCAAUCUGGGGUCGUGCUUGGCUUCACAGCGCGGGACUGUGGGAUAGUCACACAGAAAGCAGAAGCUUGUGGGUUCUAAUCUCAGUUCCCCCACUGGCGUCUGAGUGCCUUUAGGUGAGUCAUUUAAUUUCCACAUGUUUAGUCUGUCCCCUCCUAGACAUGGAGCCAACGAUACCCUCAUCUGCUCAUCUCCUAGAGAUGUUGUAAGGGCCGAUGGGUGUACAGGGCAGUCAAACGUUGCAUAUGUGUGUUGAGCUAAGAAAGUAAGACCAUGAGCCCAGAGAUGUCUUCAAGUUGGAG
rnacentral:lncRNA from 1 species